UAGGGAAUAUUGCACAAUGGGCGCAAGCCUGAUGCAGCCAUGCCGCGUGUGUGAAGAAGGCCUUCGGGUUGUAAAGCACUUUCAGCGAGGAGGAAGGGUUCAGUGUUAAUAGCACUGUUCAUUGACGUUACUCGCAGAAGAAGCACCGGCUAACUCCGUGCCAGCAGCCGCGGUAAUACGGAGGGUGCAAGCGUUAAUCGGAAUUACUGGGCGUAAAGCGCACGCAGGCGGUUUGUUAAGUCAGAUGUGAAAUCCCCGCGCUUAACGUGGGAACUGCAUUUGAAACUGGCAAGCUAGAGUCUUGUAGAGGGGGGUAGAAUUCCAGGUGUAGCGGUGAAAUGCGUAGAGAUCUGGAGGAAUACCGGUGGCGAAGGCGGCCCCCCUGGACAAAGACUGACGCUCAGGUGCGAAAGCGUGGGGAGCAAACAGG
rnacentral:rRNA from 1 species